GCAGAGGGGAUGGAAGACACGAGGAGAAUACAGCCCUCUGUAUCAACUAAGCAGGGUUCAUAUGGGCUCAUAGAAACUGAAGCAGCAAGUACCAAGGUAUACUAAAUAAAAGUAAAAUUACAAGCUCUGCAUGUUGGUGUUGUCUUUGAAUCCCAGCACUCAAGAAACAGAGGCAGUACAGCCCAGCUGUGUUCUGGCUCACCAUCAGUCAACCACACAUAGCUACUGGUCCCAUGCUGCUUGGAAGACAUUUACAGAGCCACCUUCAUUUUUGACCAUCUGUGACAACGGUCUGUAAAGUAUUGGUUACCACAUACCUGACAUCUUGUACUCACGCAGGAAGGAUAAGGCCAGUGAGAUGGUUUCACAGGCAAAGUGCCUGCAGAUACCAGAGGACCUCAUCAGAACUGGAGUUACAGACUGCUGUGAGUUGCGGAUGCUGGGAAUCAAACCUGGGUCCUCCGGUAGAGCAUCCAGUGCUCUUAACUGCUGAGCCAAGGCUCCAGCUCCUCAGCUUGCCUUCUUAUACAGCCCAGGACCACCUGCCCAGGUUUUUAUCAGGUUGACAAAGCUAACAGCACAGCCACUUCUCAAGAGGAAGAAAAGCUCCUCCCCUGCCCUCUCACUCCACAGGCUCCACCACUAAAGCAAACAGCCAUAAACAUAAAGACGAUAAAGCCAACAGGUAAUGUUUGCCCUUAUGCAUUUGCCAAGACACGGCCUAGCUCGGCACUUCAUUUCCAGUCUCCAUCCAUUCCCUGUGUUUGCACCUUGCCCAGUUUAUUUUCGGUGGGAGAUACUACACCCUGACCUACCCAUAUGGUUGAGUUCCGUUCGGGAAUCUCUACCCAAACCCUACGACUAGAGAAUGAGACCCUGGAAGAGUUAAACAGAAUUGAAGAAAUAUAUUUCCAAGGAUCUACAGAGUAAUAAGGAAGACGAACUCAGCCUAGAUAAACUUAGGUUGUGUUCCAGCAGGAAAGAACAGAGCAGCAAUUUGGGGCAGCCAAGUACAAGCUGGGGCAUGGCACAAAUGACCAUGUCAUAAACGCUAAGCAAGCGGCUUCGCUCAAAGCCCCGCAGCUGGGCAGGUCCCCUGGGACUCGAAGGAAGGGACUAUCAUUUAGCUUGUUACAGAUACAGUAACAACUACUGUGGCGUUUAAAGGGAAAAGUUCCAUAGCUUUGAAAACCAAGAUAUGCAUGCUUUGUGCAUUAGGAUGGAGUAAUAAGGAAACUGAAAGGAGUCUUAAAUGGGGAUAAUGUUUCUGUGGCUAACCUAAAAAUAGCUGCUAGAAGGACUAAUCCCUCACUAACUGGAUAACAGCAGACCAGACACGGGUGUGCCCUUUGAAUACGAAUGAAUUGCUCCUUGCCAUUAAGGUACCAAGACUUGAAAACAGCAAGUGUCUUGAACAUGGUAUCUGCAAUGAGACGCUGCACAGCAAAAGUGCUCACUCCAAGAAGUCAUUUGCCUCCCCAGUUUCUACACUUGCAAUCUCAGUGAUGUGCUUGGACCAUUUUACAGUAAUCCUGGCGUCCCUCUGCCUCUGGCUGAUGCCAUGUCUCUGAAGAUGAAGGGGAAGCUAUGCACAGACGUUCCUUGGGAAUGUCUGAAAUGAAUGUGUGCUGAUUACCGGACACACUAUAACUCAAACGCAGGGAUACUACUUCCAAAUGCAAAAAUCUCCGAAUCAAAAUGAAUGAAGAGUUUUAGAUCACAUUUUUAGGAUGAAAUAUGAUGUAUCUUUUUUUUUCUAGCAGGUAAGACACAAUCCUUCAGAGAAAGGGGCCCAAGCCCAGAACUAGGACAUGUGCGGGUGUGUGGUAGUAGGGUAGUGUCACGAGCCUGCUGCACAGCUGGUGAACAAACAUCGCAUCUGUAUACUUUUGUUGUUUUGAUUUGGUUGUUGACACAAGUUCUUAUUAAUUGCCCACCUUGGCCCAAACUGGGCUCAAAAGGUACACAUGCCUUCCAAACAGCUGGGAGAGGAGUAAAAGCCACAUCUGCCUGCACCUCACAGAUGCAUGUGCCCGGGAGGCACACGGACAUAACUGUUCCCACCUCCGUGCUGCUCAAUGCCACGCGGCAGGUUACGCUUUGUGUCUGCCCUUGACAAUGCUAUGGGGAAACUGCCCGGUCAUAAAUGUGAG
rnacentral:lncRNA from 1 species